rnacentral:rRNA from 1 species
UACGUAGGGUGCAAGCGUUGUCCGGAAUUAUUGGGCGUAAAGAGCUCGUAGGUGGUUUGUCGCGUUGUUCGUGAAAACUCACAGCUCAACUGUGGGCGUGCGGGCGAUACGGGCAGACUAGAGUACUGCAGGGGAGACUGGAAUUCCUGGUGUAGCGGUGGAAUGCGCAGAUAUCAGGGAGGGAACACCGGUGGGCGAAGGCGGGUCUCUGGG